rnacentral:rRNA from 1 species
GACGAACGCUGGCGGCGUGCUUAACACAUGCAAGUCGAACGCUGAAGCUUGGUGCUUGCACUGGGUGGAUGAGUGGCGAACGGGUGAGUAAUACGUGAGUAACCUGCCCUUGACUCUGGGAUAAGCCUGGGAAACUGGGUCUAAUACUGGCUAUGACAUGCCACUGCAUGGUGGUGUGUGGAAAGGGUUUUACUGGUUUUGGAUGGGCUCACGGCCUAUCAGCUUGUUGGUGGGGUAAUGGCCUACCAAGGCGACGACGGGUAGCCGGCCUGAGAGGGUGACCGGCCACACUGGGACUGAGACACGGCCCAGACUCCUACGGGAGGCAGCAGUGGGGAAUAUUGCACAAUGGGCGGAAGCCUGAUGCAGCGACGCCGCGUGAGGGAUGACGGCCUUCGGGUUGUAAACCUCUUUCAGCACGGAAGAAGCGAGAGUGACGGUACGUGCAGAAGAAGCGCCGGCUAACUACGUG